GCCGAACGCUGGCGGCGUGCCUAAUACAUGCAAGUCGAACGCAGUGGGGACGGGUGAGUAACACGUGGGUAACCUCCCCUCAGAGGGGAUAACCCUUGGAAACAGGUGCUAAACCGAUACUGAUGGAUGGACCCGCGGUGCAUUAGCUCGUUGGGGAGGUAACGGCUCACCAAGUCCACGAUGCCUACCCGACCCGCGAGGGUGAUCGUCCACACUGUGACUGAGACACGGCCCAGACGCCUACGGGAGGCAGCAGUAGGGAAUCUUCGGCAAUGGACGAAAGUCUGACCGAGCAACGCCGCGUGAGUGAAGAAGGUUUUCGGAUCGUAAAACUCUGUUGUUAGAGAAGCGGUAUCUAACCAGAAAGCCACGGCUAACUACGUGCCAGCCGCCGCGGUAAUUC
rnacentral:rRNA from 1 species